rnacentral:rRNA from 1 species
AUUAAUACUGAAUGACUUUAUAAUUAUAUAAAAAACAUUAUGCUGGAACUAGUAACAAGAAUUUAAUAUUCUCCCAAAUGCAAGUAUAAGCCAAAAUGGAUACUCCACUGGCAAUUAACGGUAAUGAAUAAAAUUCAGCAACUUACAUACAAGAAAAACCUGCAAACUCAACCGUUAACCUUACACCAGAACAUUACAGGAAAGAUUAAAAGAGAAAGAAGGAACUCGGCAAAUAAUAACCCCGCCUGUUUACCAAAAACAUCGCCUCUUGACAAGAUAUAAGAGGUCCAGCCUGCCCAGUGACAAAAUUUAACGGCCGCGGUACCCUGACCGUGCGAAGGUAGCAUAAUCACUUGUUCUUUAAAUAGGGACUAGUAUCAACGGCAUCACGAGGGUUACACUGUCUCCUUUCUCCAAUCAGUGAAACUGAUCUUCCCGUGAAGAAGCGGGAAUACACCUAUAAGACGAGAAGACCCCAUGGAGCUUUAAAUUUCACAGCAACUUAGUCACAUAUUUCUUUAUAUUUAACAGAGCCAUGCAUGCCGAUUUUAGGUUGGGGUGACCGCGGAGUAUAAAACAACCUCCACAUCGAAAAGAACUAAAUCUUUAUUUAAGAGCUACAACUCUAAAAAUUAGUACACUAACGAACAAUGACCCGAUAAUCGAUCAACGGACCAAGUUACCCUGGGGAUAACAGCGCAAUCUACUUCAAGAGCCCAUAUCGACAAGUAGGCUUACGACCUCGAUGUUGGAUCAGGGUAUCCCAGUGGUGCAGCCGCUACUAAUGGUUCG